UUCUGGUUGAUCCUGCCGGACCUGACUGUUAUCGGAUUGAUACUAAGCCAUGCGAGUCUUUGCAGUAAUGCAAGGCGGACUGCUCAGUAACACGUAGUCAACUUAACCUAUGGAUGGGUAUAACCUCGGGAAACUGAGAAUAAUUCCCAAUAGAUCAUUUAUCCUGGAAUGGUUAGUGAUUGAAAUGAUUCGUCGCCAUAGGAUAGGACUGCGGCCUAUCAGCUUGUUGGUGAGGUAAAGGCCCACCAAGGCUAUUACAGGUACGGGCCCUGAGAGAAGAAGCCCGGAGAUGGGUACUGAGACACGGACCCAGGCCCUAUGGGGCGCAGCAGGCGAGAAAACUUUGCAAUGUGCGAAAGCACGACAAGGUUAAUCCGAGUGAUUUCUGCUAAAGAAAUCUUUUGCCAGUUCUAAAAAUACUGGUGAAUAAGGGGUGGGCAAGUUCUGGUGCCAGCAGCCGCGGUAAU
rnacentral:rRNA from 1 species